GGUUAGUAACGCGUGGAACAUACCUUCUCUAAGGAAUAGCCUCUGGAAACGGAGAGUAAUACCUUAUACGCCUUCGGGGAAAGAUUUAUCGGAGAGAGAUUGGCCCGCGUUAGAUUAGAUAGUUGGUGGGGUAACGGCCUACCAAGUCUACGAUCUAUAGCUGGUUUUAGAGGAUGAUCAGCAACACUGGGACUGAGACACGGCCCAGACUCCUACGGGAGGCAGCAGUGGGGAAUCUUGGACAAUGGGCGCAAGCCUGAUCCAGCCAUGCCGCGUGAGUGAUGAAGGCCUUAGGGUCGUAAUGCUCUUUCGCCAGGGAUGAUAAUGACAGUACCUGGUAAAGAAAC
rnacentral:rRNA from 1 species